rnacentral:tRNA from 1 species
GGUUAUGGCUCAGUGGUAGAGCACUUGCCUGGUAUGCAUGAGGCCCUGGAUUUGAUUCAAUCCCUGGUGCUG